rnacentral:rRNA from 1 species
CCCGUUUAGACGGGGACAACAUUCCGAAAGGGAUGCUAAUACCGGAUGUGACGCUCCUAUCGCAUGACGGGAGCGUGAAAGAUGGCCUCUACAUGUAAGCUAUCGCUAAAGGAUGGGCCUGCGUCUGAUUAGCUAGUUGGUAGUGUAACGGACAACCAAGGCGAUGAUCAGUAGCCGGUCUGAGAGGAUGAACGGCCACAUUGGGACUGAGACACGGCCCAG